UCUCCGGUUGUGGUUCCGGUCAGCGUUAGUCAGCCUAUGGCCUUCUCGGUUAAGCUUGAUCUGCAACCUGCCAAGGUUUCCAGGUAUCCUUCUGGCCUGCUGGUAAUCCCGCUCAGCGCCGCGUCCUCC